rnacentral:rRNA from 1 species
UGGGGAAUAUUGCACAAUGGGCGCAAGCCUGAUGCAGCCAUGCCGCGUGUGUGAAGAAGGCCUUCGGGUUGUAAAGCACUUUCAGCGAGGAGGAAGGUGGUGGACUUAAUACGUUCAUCAAUUGACGUUACUCGCAGAAGAAGCACCGGCUAACUCCGUGCCAGCAGCCGCGGUAAUACGGAGGGUGCAAGCGUUAAUCGGAAUUACUGGGCGUAAAGCGCACGCAGGCGGUUUGUUAAGUCAGAUGUGAAAUCCCCGGGCUCAACCUGGGAACUGCAUUUGAAACUGGCAAGCUAGAGUCUCGUAGAGGGGGGUAGAAUUCCAGGUGUAGCGGUGAAAUGCGUAGAGAUCUGGAGGAAUACCGGUGGCGAAGGCGGCCCCCUGGACGAAGACUGACGCUCAGGUGCGAAAGCGUGGGGAGCAAACAGGAUUAGAUACCCCUGGUAGUCCACGCUGUAAACGAUGUCGAUUUUGGAGGUUGUGCCCUUGAGGCGUGGCUUCCGGAGCUAACGCGUUAAAUCGACCGCCUGGGGAGUACGG